UACGUAGGUGGCAAGCGUUGUCCGGAUUUACUGGGCGUAAAGAGCGCGCAGGCGGUCGUUCAAGUCGAGUGUGAAAGCCCCCGGCUCAACUGGGGAGGGUCACUCGAUACUGAUCGACUCGAAGGCAGAAGAGGGAAGCGGAAUUCCCGGUGUAGCGGUGAAAUGCGUAGAUAUCUGGAGGAACACCGGUGGCGAAGGCGGCAUCCUGGACCGAGAUUGACGCUGAGGCGCGAAAGCCAGGGGAGCAAACGGG
rnacentral:rRNA from 1 species